rnacentral:tmRNA from 1 species
GGGGGCGACAGGCUUCGACAGGGGCUUGUAUAGAUCUUUGGAUGCACGUCGGGCUUGCUUGUUAGCUCGUUAAAACACCAAGCAAAACACAAAUGCCAACACUGAAUUGGCUCUUGCUGCCUAGUUAACUCUAGCCAGUCAAGUGUCUCAUCACAAGUCAGCUUGAAGCGCGUGAAUGAGGCAUAACACAUUUUAAGCUAGCGCGUCUUCUCCGCCUGCGAAGACGCGCGAAAUGUUAGUCAGACUAGCUUUUCGAGAGGUCUUGUCGGUUUACUUACUCUCUAAAGGCGAAAACCGAAGUGAACUCGACUAAACGUGUAGAUUCCCUUGGUCGCAACCUUUGGAUGCGGGUUCGAUUCCCGCCGCCUCCACCA